UACGUAGGGGGGCAAGCGUUGUCCGGAUUUAUUGGGCGUAAAGAGCGUGUAGGCGCCAGACAGGUCCGUUGUGAAAACUCGAGGCUCAACCUCGAGACGCCGAUGGAAACCGUCUGGCUAGAGUCCGGAAGAGGAGAGUGGAAUUCCUGGUGUAGCGGUGAAAUGCGCAGAUAUCAGGAAGAACACCCGUGGCUAAGGCGGCUCUCUAGUACGGUACUGACGCUGAGACGCGAAAAGCGUGGGGAGCGAACAGG
rnacentral:rRNA from 1 species